GUCCGAUCUGCAUCUGAUCCCAGGAAGGCUUCUCUCCCCACCCAAAGGGGCGGGAAAGAGGAUUCCCUCUUGAUUUCCAGAAGGCUGUUCCUGGGACGGAAAUACAGGGAGCUGGGGGGCUGUUUGCACCCUCAGUCUCCUAUAGGUGACCCGGGAGAGCCAGGCUGGGCCCUCCCUCCCUUCCUGAGGACCUUCGUCCUCCUCCUUCUGAAAGGGAGGUGAGCUGGUGGAGAUGCUCCCAUAACAAGCUCCUCUGGAGCCCCGGAAUGCCCGCCCAGCCUCGGCCACCAAGCAGCCUGGUGGGACAGACAAGCACGAUUGAGACCUACAGUGGGAGAGAUGGCGAUAGUGCUAAGGCGAAGACAGAGGCAGGCGGCUGGAGAGCAGGGGCUGGAGGUGUGCAAUCCACCCGGAGUGAGGAAGGGGCCCCAGGAGCUCUGCUGAAGGAGGAGGACUGGGCAGCUCAGUGCAGGGAGAGGAGCAGCAGGUGCAAAGGCGAGAGCUUGCCUGGCCUUUUGAGGACCCGCAGAGGGCCCGCGAGGCUGGAAC
ensembl:lncRNA